rnacentral:rRNA from 1 species
CCUACGGGUGGCAGCAGUGAGGAAUAUUGGUCAAUGGACGAGAGUCUGAACCAGCCAAGUAGCGUGAAGGAUGACUGCCCUAUGGGUUGUAAACUUCUUUUAUAUGGGAAUAAAAUGUUCCACGUGUGGGCUUUUGUAUGUACCAUAUGAAUAAGGAUCGGCUAACUCCGUGCCAUCAGCCGCGGUAAUACGGAGGGUCCGAGCGUUAUCUGGAUUUAUUGGGUUUAAAGGGAGCGUAGGUGGUUUGUUAAGUCAGUUGUGAAAGUUUGCGGCUCAACCGUAAAAGUGCAGUUGAAACUGGCAGUCUUGAGUACAGUAGAGGUGGGCGGAAUUAGUGGUGUAGCGGUGAAAUGCUUAGAUAUCACGAAGAACUCCGAUUGCGAAGGCAGCUCACUGGACUGCAACUGACACUGAGGCUCGAAAGUGUGGGUAUCAAACAGGAUUAGAUACCCCAGUAGUC